ensembl:snRNA U6 U6 spliceosomal RNA
GUGUUUGCUUUGGCAGUGCCUAUAUUAAAAUUGUAACUAUACAGAGAAGAUUAGCAUGACCCCUGUAAUAAGGAUGACACACUUUAUGAUGCAGUCCCUAUUUUUUUU